ensembl:lncRNA
UGAACAUUUACACACAGCAGGAGAACAUGAGCUCCGUCUCACUGCAGCCAAGUAAACAAAUUAUAAAGAAACGCAUUCUGAUCACACAGAUAGUGUGAAAGGAAAGACACAAAUCCAAGAAGACCAUACAUGCUUCAACACAGUAAGGCAAUCACUUCAAAUUACUUCUAGCUUCCCUUUCAACCCAUAAUACAGGCUCUCUGUUAGUUGUAUUUCGACCAAAUAUUGUAAUGUCCUAAUACAUCAAUGAAAAGCUUAUUUAUUCAGCUUUCAUGUGACUUAUGAAUCUCAAUUUUGAAACAUUGACACUUAAGACACUUAUGUGGGAUUAGGGUUUGGUUUAGGGUUACUUGCAUGUAAUUAUGUAUAAUUUAUAGUUAUUCUAAUAGUAAGUACAUGUAACGUGUAACAAGGACACCUUAAAAAUAGUAUUUUAUUAUUAUUUUAUUUUGAUGUCAGGAGGACAUAAAAGAUGGAGAGUUCACAUUCAGUGAGACCCAGCGGCCCGAGCAAACACUACCCACUGAUCCACAGCUGCUACAAAACACUGACACGACAGACACUAACACAGCACCAGCUAGUGUUCAUUUCCCAGACACACAAACAUUCGAGAGCCAUCGCUUUAGGAGCAGAGGAACGAGGAGGUCUGUGAGGAGCAGCAGCUGCAGCGAGAGGCCACGAUGCGCUCCCUAGUGCACAUCCAGAGGAGAGCAGAGCAACGCUGGCAACGAGACCGAGACAGACAGCUACUCAGAGUUCAAGAGCGACUGGCUAUCGUCCAGAGUCAGAAGACAGAUGAAGAUCUCAGACUCAGACAUCUGAUCGACACACUACGUCAGGUACACACAUUCACAUGCACAUGAUCAGACACUUUAAUGUGGACAUGAUGUAAAUGUUGACUAAAUGUUCUAGGAGGAUGAGCAACAACAGAAAACUUUAGUAAGAGAGAAACUCCAGCAGAUGAGGAGAGAACGCUCCUGCAUUCUCCAGACCAGACGGGAGAGGUAACAUAUACACACUAAUGCUGGACUAGUUCAGUUUGACAGUGAUCAAUAUGUGAGUACUUCACCAUAAAAUUAAAAUGGUCAUCAUUUACUUAUCCUAAUGCCACAGCCAAAGUCGUAUUUUUUAUUUAUUUAUUUUUUUGCUCAUUUUGGUGCUUGAAACCUAUGGUAACCCAUUUUUUGCCACAUAAAAAAAAGCAUGCUUUAAGUCAAAAUUAUGAUAAAAGUUGAAGUUGACAAAUCAUAAUUUAGAUUUUUGAAUGUCAACUUAUCUUAUAAUUAUGUUGAAGUCAAAAGCGACAGUCAAAAUUAUGAGAUAAAAAGUGGACAUUGACACUAAUAUUUAUAAGAAAAACUGUCAAAAUAAUGACCUGUCAUAACUGAAAUAAAAA